CUUUGUAUAAAGUCCCUCUCUUCCGCAACCCACCUUGCGUCUGUAGUCUGUACCAUUCCGAACCCUAAUUUUGUGGAUUCCCCUGCCCUCUUCUCCUCCGUGUUCUCUAGCUGUAGUCUAUAUGUUUGUUGGUUUGAUUUGAGCGAUCGUUAUGAAUUCGUUUGUGUGCUAUUUGCGUGUGUGUGCUUGUAAUCCGAUGAGAAGUCCGUGAUGACAAUCCGAAGGCUUGUUUCUCAGAAAACAUUCGCAGUGGCCGCCUAAGAGCUUUCGCCUUCGCCGGGCUUGAGAGCUUAUGCUGCUUCUAUCCUUCCUUGGAUGUCUGAGGCUAUGAUCGCCUUAUAUUGCGAUCCACUCACUCCGUCUUCCAUUACUCGGCGAGUUCUUUCUGUAGAUCAAUUUCGUUUCUUCUCAUUGUUGAUACGCUAUUUGAUUAUGAAACGAUAUUGUUGGUGUAUAUGUGAGAAGUUUGAUCCGUUUCCGUAGUUGGUUGGAGUCUUGUAUCUUCAUUGUUUCCUCCUACGUGUUUUUGUUGCUGAUAGUUGCAGAGUAUUGCAUAGAUUUGUAGUCGUUUGAAUUUGUGUUUACAUGUGUUUGCUGUGUUGUUGAAGAAAUGUCUGUGAUGAUGAAUCCAAAGGCUUGUUUCUCAAAACAUUCGCAGUGGCCGCCUGAGAGCUUUCGCCUUCGCCAGGCUUGAGAGCUUUUGCUGCUUAUAUCCUUCCUUGGAUGUCUGAGACUAUCCUAGCUUCUUGUGUUGUUGCGCUCUGAAUGUUAAUUGUCUUUACUCUGUUAAUAGGAUGUGGAAACUCCCAUGAGGCCAUGUGAUUGGUUCAAUUCUUGAAAUCACUUUCUGAAAGACAACCGAGAAGAAGAAGGUUUAAUUGUGUGAAGAUUUUCAGAAGAAAUCUGUAUCAUGAUCUCUUUUGUACUGCCAAGAAUAAAUCUGGAGAAAAUGUCGCUCCUAGAAUCUAAAUGUGCGAUGGAAAAUGUCGAUUUGUAUUGGCAAUACUAGCUUCCUGCUGUUUGAUAAAGCUGUACGAAAAUUUUAAGUCUAUUGAUAAUGGUUGUGGAACAUCCCUAGUUUUGUAUAUCAAUUAUUGAGGAAAUAAUAUAUAUGUUAGUGUUUACUUGCACUGAUGGUGCUUCCUAUAGCUCCGAGUAUAUUUCUUGGAUAUAUGUUUCCUUUGAGUGCAGGUUCGGAUUACUCAACAAAAGAAGGCAAGGAUAAAUAGCCAGUCAGGACUUGGUGAGAGUCCCAUGUAUAAUCUUUUUUCCGUGGUGGAACAAUGAAGGAAGUGCCUGACAAAGGUUGCCUUUCUAGAUAGUUCUUAGAUGUCAAAAGAGUGAGUUUGUAUUGUGUCGUUCUUGGUAUUGAUAUGUACACUAAUUGAGGUUGAGUAGGGAUAUUGAGUUGUUCAUCCAGUGCACAUUUGUUGCCUUUACUUCUCCUCGUAAUUGAUUUUGCUGUUAAAGUCCUGCUUAAAUGAAUAAAUAUGCAGAAUUUAUCCCAAUCCAUUGUGCAGGUGGACUUCUCUAUUGUAAUCAAAAUAUCCUUAAAUAUUGAAAUCUUCUAUUCCUCA